UGGCGGCGUGCCUAAUACAUGCAAGUCGAACGAAGAGCUCGGAGUAGCAAUACCCUGAGUACUCUUAGUGGCGAACGGGUGAGUAACGCGUUGGUGACCUGCCCCAAAGAUAGGGAUAACAGUUCGAAAGGACUGCUAAUACCUUGUGUUGUCAUUUUGAUUAGAUGCUAAAUGACUAAAGGAGCUUGCUCCGCUUUGGGAGGGGCCUGCGUCCCAUCAGCUAGUUGGUAGGGUAAUGGCCUACCAAGGCGAUGACGGGUAGGGGACCUGAGAGGGUGGCCCCCCCCAAUGGAACUGAAACACGGUCCAUACACCUACGGGUGGCAGCAGUAGGGAAUAUUGGUAAUGUGCGAAAGCGCGAACCAGCAACGCCGCGUGUGCGAAGACGGCCUUCGGGUUGUAAAGCACUUUUCGGGAGGAAGAGGAAGGACUGUACUCCCGGAAUAAGUCUCGGCUAACUACGUGCCAGCAGCCGCGGUAAUACGUAGGAGGCAAACGUUAUCCGGAUUUACUGGGCGUAAAGCGCGUGCAGGCUGUUCAAUAAGUUGGGCGUGAAAGCUCCCGGCUCAACUGGGAGAGGUCGUUCAAUACUGCUGGACUAGAGGAUGGUAGAGGAAGGUGGAAUUCCGGGUGUAGUGGUGAAAUGCGCAGAUAUCCGGAGGAACACCAGUGGCGAAAGCGGCCUUCUGGACCAUUCCUGACGCUCAGACGCGAAAGCUAGGGUAGCAAACGGGAUUAGAGACCCCGGUAGUCCUAGCUGUAAACGAUGUGAACUUGGCGUCGGUGGGAUUAAAUCCAUCGGUGUCGUAGCUAACGCGAUAAGUUCACCGCCUGAGGACUACGGCCGCAAGGUUAAAACUCAAAGGAAUUGACGGGGGCCCGCACAAGCGGUGGAGCAUGUGGUUUAAUUCGACGCAACGCGCAGAACCUUUACCCAGGUUUGACAUGCA
rnacentral:rRNA from 1 species